UUGGGAUUUCACAUCAGACUCGGAUCGAUCGAUUGAUUCAUAUGACUGAUGUUGGGUUUGACGAGUUCACCUUAACUCUAAUUUAGUCGGGACUCAUGAUAGAGGAACUCAAUCACAUAGAUAGCUGCACCGAGAGGUUCAUCUUCAGUUCUGAUGGAUUGCCACCACAUACUGCUAGGUGUCACUGAUGAAUUUUGAGAGCAAUUAGAAUGAUAUUGAUGAUCGAUCAUUCUAAUUAUCUGAAUC
rnacentral:lncRNA from 1 species